rnacentral:rRNA from 1 species
AUUGAACGCUGGCGGCAUGCUCUACACAUGCAAGUCGAACGGUAACAGGCCGCAAGGUGCUGACGAGUGGCGAACGGGUGAGUAAUGCAUCGGAACGUGCCCAGUCGUGGGGGAUAACUACUCGAAAGAGUAGCUAAUACCGCAUACGAUCUAUGGAUGAAAGCGGGGGACCGUAAGGCCUCGCGCGAUUGGAGCGGCCGAUGUCAGAUUAGGUAGUUGGUGGGGUAAAGGCUCACCAAGCCAACGAUCUGUAGCUGGUCUGAGAGGACGACCAGCCACACUGGGACUGAGCCACGGCCCAGACUCCUACGGGAGGCAGCAGUGGGGAAUUUUGGACAAUGGGCGCAAGCCUGAUCCAGCAAUGCCGCGUGCAGGAAGAAGGCCUUCGGGUUGUAAACUGCUUUUGUACGGAACGAAACGGCUCUGGUUAAUACCCGGGGCUAAUGACGGUACCGUAAGAAUAAGCACCGGCUAACUACGUG